rnacentral:rRNA from 1 species
UACGAAGGGGGCUAGCGUUGUUCGGAGUUACUGGGCGUAAAGCGCGCGCAGGCGGUCUUCCAAGUCAGUGGUGAAAGCCCGGAGCUCAACUCCGGAACUGCCAUUGAAACUGUAAGACUUGAGGAUGAGAGAGGUGAGUGGAAUUCCCAGUGUAGAGGUGAAAUUCGUAGAUAUUGGGAAGAACACCGGUGGCGAAGGCGGCUCACUGGCUCAUAUCUGACGCUCAGGCGCGACAGCGUGGGGAUCAAACAGG